GGGCGGCCAUGGCAGGGAGGGGAGGCGACGCUGCGCUCCGGAUGCGGCAGGGAGGCGGAAGCCGCGCGAGGAGACGAAGGAGCAGAAAAUGAAGAGGCAUGGAGGAGAGGCGGGCGAGCGGGAAGGGCUGGGGCGUCGCCCACGACGCCGAGCUUGACGGCGGCCUUGCGGUGGCGCAGCCGGCAAGGACCUGUCGGAUCUGGCUGGAUCCGGCGGGAUACGGCGCGCAUGCGGCGGAUCUGGAAGGAAGGCGACCGGGGCGUGGAGUACGAUGACUGACAUGCGCGGCAUGGCCGAAGCCGACGAGAGAAGAGAGAGAUGGAGAGAAAAGAGAGGACGGGAAGGAGACGAGACGCCAGAGGAGAGAGAAGGGGGUGGUGGUCACUUCAACGGGCUGCAGCGCGGCGCCGCCCCGGCCGCUGAGCCUGCCCGACCGCCCCGUCGCCAAGUCGCCACCCCACUGACUGCCCUGGGCUCGCCCUUUAAACCAAUUCAGAGCCAGCGAUUGUUGCCCACAUCGCCGAACCUGGCUCCCCUUCUCCACCCCAGCAAGCACGCGCGCUUGAAGGCGCCCAGGAGCUCGCCGGCAACACUCAGCAGACGCAGGAGAGCUGCGUGCCUGGUGCGUGUGAAUGUGUGGACGCGAGGCAUUGGAGGCCUCAGCAAGUUAACAAAUUAUAUUGCCCUGUACUACUUUUUAACAAAUUGGCUCCUACAAAGACUAAUGGAAGGAUCAUCAGACCAACGUAGUCAAAUUGUCUGCUUCAAAUUUUCGGGAAGCCGACGGACAGCCAUAGUAGGAAGGCGUGGAUCUUGAGCUGCAGCGACAACGACAACUUGGGCGUUACCUGCAAAAAUACAACAGUUCAAGGGUUCAACCAAGUUCAACUAUUCAGACUAUUGACUAGGGACGAUAUUUUCAGUCCUACUGAGUCUGCAAAGGAUGAGCCAAGCCAAGAUUAAUUAUGGUUUUGGUAAAUUGCAUCGGUUUAGUUAUGUACCUGCUCCUUAGAUGACUGUGUAUUUGUGAUUCAGUCGUUGAAAUUUGGGUGCUUUCUUCGAGUGUCCUGAAAAAUGGUUCAAUGCGUGUUUGCCAGAAACUGUAGAUUAGCAAGACUAACUUGUGUUGAGCAUGUCAGUCUAUGUGUGGGCACGAGUGACAAUGUAAAUUAUGGUAGACACGAUUUUCUUGAAAAAAGUCCCGGAGACGGGCUGCUGCUGCUGCUGCUUUUGAUAGCCAAAGUGGAGACUGCAGUUCUAAGACUUCAAGGAGGAAAGGAAUACAUGGUUGCUACUUGGAGAGGUGAGUUGUUUCCCUGCAGAACAAUAAAUCUCUUAGAGUUGUUUAACUGAACCUGUUCCACUCUCAUUGUUAUGUUGAGAUAAAAAUUGUUAUUGGUCACUCAGUGCCCAAGCUGUCGUGGAUUAAUUUGACUUGAAUUGGAUUGUACUUCAAGAGUCCACAAGAUGUCAUUUCUGAGUGUGGUACUAAUUUCGGCACAUAGCACCAAUUUCUAAAAAUAAGGCUGGGCAACAUGAGCCAACCACAGGGGAGGAUGUUUCAAGAGAAUAAACUCACUGUAGUUGCCGAAUUGGUAUUAGUAAGUUGCUGUUUCAACUUCCUAGAGAACAACAGGGGGUGUAUUUUUUUUACUAUUAUUAGUUGCAGCACAUGGCGACGAUGAUGAGGACUUGUAUUUUUAAGAUGCUGCACCUCUGUUUUUUGU